UACGUAGGGUGCGAGCGUUAAUCGGAAUUACUGGGCGUAAAGCGUGCGUAGGCGGUUCUCCAAGUCCGUUGUGAAAGCCCCGGGCUCAACCUGGGAAUGGCAGUGGAAACUAGGGGACUGGAAUCUGGCAGAGGGGGGUGGAAUGCCGCGUGUAGCAGUGAAAUGCGUAGAGAUGCGGCGGAACACCGAUGGCGAAGGCAGCCCCCUGGGAUAACACUGACGCUCAUGCACGAAAGCGUGGGGAGCAAACAGG
rnacentral:rRNA from 1 species